CAACAUAUUCCAUUUCCAUCAUCGAAAUUGACAGCUCGGUUAGAAAAACUAUUAACUUUUACGGAUAAAAAAAAAUUUAAUGUACAUUUAAAAUAAGAAAUAUAAUGUAAGCAUGAUAUUCUAGUAGUAAGAGGUUACAAUUAAGCAUGGGUCUAUGUACGAUGAAAUAUACCCAGCAGUCAAAAGGCUAAUUUGGCACCAGUAGUUUAAUGAUAUCAUUGAACUUUGUCUUAAAAAUAAAUGAAUAUAAAAGAAAAGCUGCGAAUGGUAUGAAAAGCUACACCAACCAUACAAGCAACCAUUCCCACAAUAGUCGGAUUUAUUUCAUCGGAGCAGAUCCGUACAUUUUCCGAAAAAGGACUAUUAAUCCAACAGCUUCGCAUAAAAUUAUUUCGUGAAUGUUUUCUGCCGCUAAAAUAACAAAAUUUCUACAAGAAAAUAUACAAAUGUAAUAAAAUAGUACAAUAAGUUAAGGUACAGUA